UACUACCGGCACCGAUGUUUCCCUCCGAUCUUGCCGGAAGAUACCUGUUCUUUUUUCGGCCGAUUUAACGAUCCUCGCUGGCAGCGCGUAUCUCGAGACAACAACCCUAAACAGCUAAUAAUCGUCAUCGCGGGACGGUCAUCAAAGUCGUCGAAACAGCAAAACCGACGAACGUUCGUUCGGAAUGAAGUAAUUACAGCCGUGCGAGGACGAAGUCGGUUUCUACCGUGGGCUCUUAAUGGCAACGAUAAAAUAAUUAUUGACCAGGGCUGGCUACCGUUCAGCGCGAACAUUGACACUCACGGAGACCGGUUGCCUGACUGUUUCGUUUCAGAUUGUGACAUUAAAUCGUCACCGUAACGCGAGGGCAAAAAGAGAAAUGUCGACACUUUGCGAUUUACUGUCACGUGGAAACGUAUCCUACGAAAAGAGACGCGGGUCGUCGGUGCAGUCGUUGGACGUCUUCGUCCCUGGCCAUGGUCGGGGAAUUCGAGACUGUUACAAUAGGGGGCGAGCCGCGGACAGGCUAUGGUGGCGCCUAUGCACUCCUGCGUUUCGUGAGAAAUAGAGACGAGGAAUAAAGGGGUGAA